UGGAACGAGUGGCGGACGGGUGAGUAACACGUGGGUAACCUGCCCUUAAGUGGGGGAUAACAUUUGGAAACAGAUGCUAAUACCGCAUAGAUCCAAGAACCGCAUGGUUCUUGGCUGAAAGAUGGCGUAAGCUAUCGCUUUUGGAUGGACCCGCGGCGUAUUAGCUAGUUGGUGAGGUAAUGGCUCACCAAGGCGAUGAUACGUAGCCGAACUGAGAGGUUGAUCGGCCACAUUGGGACUGAGACACGGCCCAAACUCCUACGGGAGGCAGCAGUAGGGAAUCUUCCACAAUGGACGCAAGUCUGAUGGAGCAACGCCGCGUGAGUGAAGAAGGCUUUCGGGUCGUAAAACUCUGUUGUUGGAGAAGAAUGGUCGGCAGAGUAACUGUUGUCGGCGUGACGGUAUCCAACCAGAAAGCCACGGCUAACUACGUGCCAGCAGCCGCGGUAAUACGUAGGUGGCAAGCGUUAUCCGGAUUUAUUGGGCGUAAAGCGAGCGCAGGCGGUUUUUUAAGUCUGAUGUGAAAGCCCUCGGCUUAACCGAGGAAGCGCAUCGGAAACUGGGAAACUUGAGUGCAGAAGAGGACAGUGGAACUCCAUGUGUAGCGGUGAAAUGCGUAGAUUUAUGGAAGAACACCAGUGGCGAAAGCGGCUGUCUGGUCUGUAACUGACGCUGAGGCUCGAAAGCAUGGGUAGCGAACAGGAUUAGAUACCCUGGUAGUCCAUGCCGUAAACGAUGAAUGCUAGGUGUUUGGAAGGGUUUCCGCCCUUCAGUGCCGCAGCUAACGCAUUAAGCAUUCCGCCCGGGGAGUACGACCGCAAGGUUGAAACUCAAAGGAA
rnacentral:rRNA from 1 species